AAAAAAAACAAAAUGUUGUUUGUGUUUCUAGGUUUCUCACCCAACAUUCAAAUCUCAAACUAAACACUCUCCUCUCUAUCGUUGUCGGCAGUCUCUCUCGUGUCUUCUCCUUCACACUCGGCUCCAUCCUUUUCCUUCUCUUCUCUCCGAUAAAGAAGAUGAAGAAGCCCUCUUUUCCUUCCUCCACGGCGCCCUGCCAAGGUCACCGCAGCAUUCGUCGCGCUCCUCACCCAUCCGAGGAGAACGUCGUCACGUCAGAGAGCGCCGCUGUCUUCCUUCUUUUUCAUCGUCAUCGUCAGCCUCUCCCUUCCAGAAAAAGUCAGAGCAACUAAAUGCGACUUCAAAUCCAAGCUUCUGAUAACUGCAAAAUGGUUGAUGACAUAUUUGAGGUUUCAUCAUGCAUAAGGCAUUGGAGCAGGAUCUUGAAGACAAUACCCAACACCACUAAAGUAGUCCCUUUAAAUAGAUUAUUAUUAUUGCCUAACUGCCUUAAUUAAUUUGGGCAACUACUAGGAUUUGGUGUUAUAUAGAUUACCUUCAUAAGUGACUACAGAGAUCCUAUGUGUAGCUAUAAUAUAUUUGUAUUGAUUUAUGAAAUGAGGUUAGUUAAGCUUGUGUUUAUGUCCUCCAAUGUAAUCACAUUUUUUUAAGAAGAGAAAAUUAUACUUUCUUUAACUGGA